rnacentral:rRNA from 1 species
UACAGAGGUCUCAAGCGUUGUUCGGAAUCACUGGGCGUAAAGGGUGCGUAGGCCGCACGGUAAGUCAGAGGUGAAAUCCCGGAGCUCAACUUCGGAAUUGCCUCCGAUACUGCCGUGCUUGAGGACUGGAGAGGAGGUUGGAAUUCACAGUGGAGCAGUGAAAUGCGUAGAUAUUGUGAGGAACACUAGUGGCGAAGGCGAAUCUCUGGACAGUUCCUGACGCUGAGGCACGAAGGCCAGGGGAGCAAACGGG